rnacentral:lncRNA from 1 species
UAGGACAGUUUCUCUCUGGAAGAAGGGAAACAAGUUAAAAGAGAAAUUUUAUUUCUACUCAGCCUGCCACAUUUAGUUCAUCAGUCUAGAGUGGUACACUACUUCAGAAAGCAGAUUCCACAGAAAAUCCAUAUGGUAUAGAGGCUUUUCUUGGCCACCAGGAAAGAAAGUUCCCAUUCCAGGAGAAGCAGGAAUGUGCAAUGAUGUGAAACAUCAACACGAGAACUUCUGUAAUUUUACAUCAUCUUGAAAAGGCAAUGAAUGGUGGAUCAAUAAACCCUAGGUUCAAGUGCCAGCUCUGGCAGUAACUCACUUUGUAACACUGAGCAAGUCAUUAUCAAAGAGGAAAACCAGGACAAAAGAAAAGUAUCGUGUAGUUUACACUGAUCAUCAAAGAUUGGAGCUGGAAAAGGAAUUCCAUUGCAAUAGAUAUAUCACCAUCCAGAGAAAAUCAGAGCUGGCAGUUAACCUGGGCCUUUCCGAGAGACAGGUGAAAAUCUGGUUUCAGAAUCGCAGAGCCAAGGAGAGAAAGAUGAUCAAAAAGAAAAUCUCCCAGUUUGAGAAUAGUGGAGGCUCGGUGCAAAGUGACUCUGACUCCAUCAGCCCUGGGGAACUACCUAACACUUUUUUCACCACACCAUCUGCUGUUCGUGGAUUUCAACCUAUUGAGAUACAGCAGGUUAUAGUCUCCGAAUGAAAGAAAGCAAAGAGAAAUUUAAAGUGCCCUUUUUUUAGUGAUGUCUUUUGGGUCUCUAAGCUAUCUACAGGGGAGUUGGAGCAGGGUGUAAUUCCCUGUAAGGCAGUAUUUGGAACAGAUGGAUGCACAAUGGGUUGAAGAUAAUUUAGGGGACUCUUACUUUUAGAAACUAUCCCCAGAAAACUCCUGUCACGUGCUGUGCUAUAUGUCAGUCACUCAGGAAUCUUAGUGGUAAGGUAUAUAAUUAAAAGCUAGAAUCACAGGCCCUUCCAACUCUGUUCACAAUUUCAGAAACUUGCUUAUGAAUAGACUGUAAAAUACAAUUUUGCCAGAAAGCACAUUUGUGUAUGUGUACUUCUGUUUGUUAUUUGAUGCUAGGUGUUUUCUUUUAUGCUAUCUUUAAGGAGUGAGAAGAAGGUAAACCGAAGUUUAUCUAUCUUUAGCUACCUUUCCAAGUGUUUAAUUCAAAAGCUAACAGAAUUUUUAUAAUAAGAUAAAUGUUUUAAAAAUCAUCAGAAGGUGAUUCUGAUUCCAUUGUCACUGCUUAACAAGAAUAACCAAUAAAAAAGACAAUUUUGGCCCUCAAUCAUACUUGUCUGGCAUCAAUUAUCUCAGAACUUUCAACUUGCAGUGUCAUUUUAAAAUCUUGU